rnacentral:rRNA from 1 species
GAUGAACGCUGGCGGCGUGCUUAACACAUGCAAGUCGAACGGUGACGGCGGAGCUUGCUCUGCUGGAUCAGUGGCGAACGGGUGAGGAACACGUGAGCAAUCUGCCCCUGACUUUGGGAUAAGCGCUGGAAACGGCGCCUAAUACUGGAUACGAGCUGCGAAGGCAUCUUCAGCAGCUGGAAAGCAGUGCGGUCAGGGAUGAGCUCGCGGCCUAUCAGCUUGUUGGUGAGGUAAUGGCUCACCAAGGCGUCGACGGGUAGCCGGCCUGAGAGGGUGACCGGCCACACUGGGACUGAGGCACGGACCAGACUCCUACGGGAGGCAGCAGUGGGGAAUAUUGCACAAUGGGCGAAAGCCUGAGGCAGCAACGCCGCGUGAGGGACGACGGCCUUCGGGUUAUAAACCUCUUUUGGCAGGGAAGAAGCGAAAGUGACGGUACCUGCAGAAAAAGCGCCGGCUAACUACGUG